GUGAGGAAUAUUGGUCAAUGGGCGGAAGCCUGAACCAGCCAUCCCGCGUGGAGGAAGACGGCCCUAUGGGUUGUAAACUUCUUUUCAAGGGGAAGAAAGUUCGCGACGUGUCGCGAUUUGCCGGUACCUUUGGAAUAAGCAUCGGCUAACUCCGUGCCAGCAGCCGCGGUAAUACGGAGGAUGCGAGCGUUAUCCGGAUUUAUUGGGUUUAAAGGGUGCGUAGGCCGAUCGAUAAGUCAGCGGUGAAAUACCAUGGCCCAACCAUGGAACUGCCGUUGAUACUGUCGGUCUUGAAUAUGGUCAAGGUAGGCGGAAUGUGUAAUGCAGCGGUGAAAUGCUUAGAUAUUACACAGCACACCGAUUGCGAAGGCAGCGUACUGGUCCAUUAUUGACGCUGAGGCACGAAAGCGUGGGGAUCGAACAGGAUUAGAAACCCCAGUACC
rnacentral:rRNA from 1 species